GAUGAAGAACGUAGCGAAAUGUGAUAAGUAAUGUGAAUUGCAGAAUUCAGUGAAUCAUCGAAUCUUUGAACGCACAUUGCGCCCGCCAGUAUUCUGGCGGGCAUGCCUGUCUGAGCGUCAUUUCAACCCUCAUGCCCCUAGGGCGUGGUGUUGGGGAUCGGCCAAAGCCCGCGAGGGACGGCCGGCCCCUAAAUCUAGUGGCGGACCCGUCGUGGCCUCCUCUGCGAAGUAGUGAUAUUCCGCAUCGGAGAGCGACGAGCCCCUGCCGUUAAACCCCCAACUUUCCAAGGUUGACCUCAGAUCAGGCAGGAAUACCCGCUGAACUUAAGCAUAUCAAUAAGCGGAGGA
rnacentral:misc_RNA from 1 species